GACGAACGCUGGCGGCGUGCCUAAUACAUGCAAGUAGGACGCAGUUGCGAACGGGUGAGUAACGCGUAGGUAACUAACUCUUAGAGGGGGAUAACUAUUGGAAACGAUAGCUAAUACCGCAUACUAGUAGAUGGACCUUCGUUGUAUUAGUUAGUAGGUAGGGUAAUGGCCAACCUAGGCAACGAUACUUAGCCGACCGUCGAGGGUGAUCGGCAACACUGGGACUGGUAUACUGCCCAGACUCCUACGGGAGGCAGCAGUAGGGAAUCUUCGGCAAUGGGGGGAUCCCUGACCGAGCAACGCCGCGUGAGUGAAGAAGUUUUUCGGAGCGUAAAGCUCUGUUGUUAAGGAAGCGGUACUUAACCAGAAAGGGACGGCUAACUACGUGCCAGCAGCCGCGGUAAUUC
rnacentral:rRNA from 1 species